rnacentral:rRNA from 1 species
UUCGUAGGCGGUGCGGCAAGUUGGGAGUGAAAUCCCUGGGCUUAACUCAGAGGCUGCUUCCAAAACUGCCGUGCUCGAGUGUGGGAGAGGCGCGUGGAAUUGCAGGUGUAGCGGUGAAAUGCGUAGAUAUCUGCAGGAACACCCGUGGCGAAAGCGGCGCGCUGGACCACAACUGACGCUGAGGAACGAAAGCUAGGGGAGCAAACAGGAUUAGAUACCCUGGUAGUCCUAGCCCUAAACGAUCAGGACUUGGGGUGCCGCCCGUUCGGGCGUCGUCCCGGAGCUAACGCGUUAAGUCCUGCACCUGGGGAGUACGGUCGCAAGACUGAA